UACGGAGGGGGCUAGCGUUGUUCGGAAUUACUGGGCGUAAAGCGCACGUAGGCGGCUUUGUAAGUUAGAGGUGAAAGCCCGGAGCUCAACUCCGGAACUGCCUUUAAGACUGCAUCGCUAGAAUUGUGGAGAGGUGAGUGGAAUUCCGAGUGUAGAGGUGAAAUUCGUAGAUAUUCGGAAGAACACCAGUGGCGAAGGCGACUCACUGGACACAUAUUGACGGCUGAGGUGCGAAAGCGUGGGGAGCAAACAGG
rnacentral:rRNA from 1 species